rnacentral:rRNA from 1 species
UGAGGAAUAUUGGUCAAUGGGCGCAAGCCUGAACCAGCCAUCCCGCGUGAAGGAUGAAGGCCCUAUGGGUCGUAAACUUCUUUUAUACACCAAGAAAAAUUCCGACGUGUCGGGACUCGACGGUAGUGUAUGAAUAAGCAUCGGCUAACUCCGUGCCAGCAGCCGCGGUAAUACGGAGGAUGCAAGCGUUAUCCGGAUUCAUUGGGUUUAAAGGGUGCGUAGGCGGCUUUUUAAGUCAGUGGUGAAAUCU